rnacentral:rRNA from 1 species
UACGUAGGGUGCAAGCGUUGUCCGGAAUUAUUGGGCGUAAAGAGCUCGUAGGCGGUUUGUCGCGUCUGCUGUGAAAACGCGAGGCUCAGCCUCGCGCCUGCAGUGGGUACGGGCAGACUAGAGUGCGGUAGGGGAGAUUGGAAUUCCUGGUGUAGCGGUGGAAUGCGCAGAUAUCAGGAGGAACACCGAUGGCGAAGGCAGAUCUCUGGGCCGUUACUGACGCUGAGGAGCGAAAGCGUGGGGAGCGAACAGG